rnacentral:rRNA from 1 species
AACGAACGCUGGCGGCAGGCCUAACACAUGCAAGUCGAACGCUCCGCAAGGGGAGUGGCGCACGGGUGAGUAACACGUGGGAACCUACCUUCUGGUACGGAACAACCAAGGGAAACUUUGGCUAAGACCGUAUACGACCUCCGGGUGAAAGAUUGAUCGCCGGAAGAGGGGCCCGCGUCCGAUUAGGUAGUUGGUGAGGUAACGGCUCACCAAGCCUUCGAUCGGUAGCUGGUCUGAGAGGAUGACCAACCACACUGGGACUGAGACACGGCCCAGACUCCUACGGGAGGCAGCAGUGGGGAAUAUUGGACAAUGGGCGCAAGCCUGAUCCAGCCAUGCCGCGUGAGUGAUGAAGGCC